rfam:Beta vulgaris subsp. vulgaris Bvchr4.sca012.con0060.1, whole genome shotgun sequence.
AAACCAUGAUGAGGACAAAGGCUGCAGAUCCUUGAAUCUUUCCCAAGUUUCAUACAAUGACUCUCCAAGAUCUUGGGUGAAAGUCACUAUCUCAUGACGCAU